GAUGAACGCUGGCGGCGUGCCUAAUACAUGCAAGUCGAGCGAACAGACGAGGAGCUUGCUCCUCUGACGUUAGCGGCGGACGGGUGAGUAACACGUGGAUAACCUACCUAUAAGACUGGGAUAACUUCGGGAAACCGGAGCUAAUACCGGAUAAUAUAUUGAACCGCAUUGUUCAAUAGUGAAAGACGGUUUUGCUGUCACUUAUAGAUGGAUCCGCGCCGCAUUAGCUAGUUGGUAAGGUAACGGCUUACCAAGGCAACGAUGCGUAGCCAACCUGAGAGGGUGCUCGGCCACACUGGAAAUGAGACACGGUCCAGACUCCUACGGGAGGCAGAAGUAGGGAAUCUUCCGCAAAGGGCGAAAGCCUGACGGAGAAACGCCGCGUGAGUGAUGAAGGUCUUCGGAUCGUAAAACUCUGUUAUUAGGGAAGAACAAAUGUGUAAGUAACUAUGCACGUCUUGACGGUACAUAAUCAGAAAGCCACGGCUAACUACGUG
rnacentral:rRNA from 1 species